GGGCCCGCACAAGCGGUGGAGUAUGUGGUUUAAUUCGAUGCAACGCGAAGAACCUUACCAGGGUUUGACAUCCUGCGAAUCUCUUGGAAACUUGAGAGUGCCUUCGGGAGCGCAGUGACAGGUGGUGCAUGGCUGUCGUCAGCUCGUGUCGUGAGAUGUUGGGUUAAGUCCCGCAACGAGCGCAACCCACGUCUUUAGUUGCCAGCAUUUAGUUGGGCACUCUAGAGAGACCGCCGGUGAUAAACCCGGAGGAAGGUGUGGAUGACGUCAAGUCAUCAUGCCCCUUACAUCCUGGGCUACACACGUGCUACAAUGGUAGUGACAAUGGGUUAAUCCCAAAAAUGCUAUCUCA
rnacentral:rRNA from 1 species